rnacentral:tRNA from 1 species
GGGGAAUUAGCUCAAGUGGUAGAGUGCUCGCUUCGCAUGCGAGAGGUAGUGGGAUUAAUACCCGCAUUCUCCA